GGGGAAUUAGCUCAAAUGGUAGAGCGCUCGCUUAGCAUGCGAGAUAGCAGGAUCGAUACCUACAUUCUCCA
rnacentral:tRNA from 1 species